rnacentral:rRNA from 1 species
AAUAUUGGACAAUGGGGGCAACCCUGAUCCAGCCAUGCCGCGUGUGUGAAGAAGGUCUUCGGAUUGUACAGCACUUUAAGGUUGGAGGAAGGGCUUUAGGUUAAUACCCUGAAGUCUUGACGUUACCCAUAGAAUAAGCACCGGCUAACUCUUCUCCAGCAGCCCCGGUAAUACUGUGGGUGCAAGCGUUAAUCGGAAUUACUGGGCGUAAAGCGCGCGUAGGUGGUUCAGUAAGAUGGGUGUGAAAUCCCCGGGCUUAACCUGGGAACUGCUUUCAUAACUGCUGAGCUAGAGUACGGUAGAGGGUAGUGGAAUUUCCUGUGUAGCGGUGAAAUGCGUAGAUAUAGGAAGGAACACCAGUGGCGAAGGCGACUACCUGGACUGAUACUGACACUGAGGUGCGAAAGCGUGGGGAGCAAACAG